rnacentral:rRNA from 1 species
AGAGUUUGAUCCUGGCUCAGAUUGAACGCUGGCGGUAUGCUUAACACAUGCAAGUCGAACGGAAACGAAACUAGCUUGCUAGUAGGCGUCGAGUGGCGGACGGGUGAGUAACGCGUAGGAAUCUGCCUGAUAGUGGGGGAUAGCCCGAAGAAAUUCGGAUUAAUACCGCAUAAUCUAUUCGUAGUAAAGUGGGGGACUUUCGAGCCUCACGCUAUCAGAUGAGCCUGCGUAAGAUUAGCUUGUUGGUAGGGUAAAAGCCUACCAAGGCAACGAUCUUUAGCUGGUCUGAGAGGAUGAUCAGCCACAUCGGGACUGAGACACGGCCCGAACUCCUACGGGAGGCAGCAGUGGGGAAUAUUGGACAAUGGGGGCAACCCUGAUCCAGCAAUACCGCGUGUGUGAAGAAGGCCCGAGGGUUGUAAAGCACUUUCAAUUGUGAAGAAAAGUUAACGGUUAAUAACCGUUGACCUUGACGUUAACUUUAGAAGAAGCACCGGCUAACUCCGUGCCAGCAGCCGCGGUAAUACGGAGGGUGCAAGCGUUAAUCGGAAUUACUGGGCGUAAAGCGUGCGUAGGCGGUUGAUUAAGUCAGAUGUGAAAGCCCCGGGCUUAACCUGGGAACUGCAUUUGAAACUGGUCAACUAGAGUAUGGUAGAGGAAAGUGGAAUUUCUGGUGUAGCGGUGAAAUGCGUAGAUAUCAGAAGGAACAUCAAUGGCGAAGGCAGCUUUCUGGACCAAUACUGACGCUGAGGUACGAAAGCGUGGGUAGCAAACAGGAUUAGAUACCCUGGUAGUCCACGCCGUAAACGAUGAUAACUAGCCGUUGGGGGGAUUUACCCCUUAGUGGCGAAGCUAACGCGUUAAGUUAUCCGCCUGGGGAGUACGGCCGCAAGGCUAAAACUCAAAGGAAUUGACGGGGACCCGCACAAGCGGUGGAGCAUGUGGUUUAAUUCGAUGCAACGCGAAGAACCUUACCUGGUCUUGACAUCCUGCGAACUUUCUAGAAAUAGAUUGGUGCCUUCGGGAACGCAGUGACAGGUGCUGCAUGGCUGUCGUCAGCUCGUGUCGUGAGAUGUUGGGUUAAGUCCCGUAACGAGCGCAACCCCUAUCCUUAUUUGCCAGCACAUUAUGGUGGGAACUAUAAGGAGACUGCCGGUGAUAAACCGGAGGAAGGCGGGGACGACGUCAAGUCAUCAUGGCCCUUACGACCAGGGCUACACACGUGCUACAAUGGGAAGGACAAAGAGCCGCGAAGCCGCGAGGUGUAGCUAAUCUCAAAAAUCUUCUCGUAGUCCGGAUUGGAGUCUGCAACUCGACUCCAUGAAGUCGGAAUCGCUAGUAAUCGUAGAUCAGAAUGCUACGGUGAAUACGUUCCCGGGUCUUGUACACACCGCCCGUCAUACCAUGGGAGUGGGUUGCACCAGAAGUGGCUAGUCUAACUUUGUGAGGACGGUCACCACGGUGUGAUUCAUGACUGGGGUAAAGUCGUAACAAGGUAACC